CGGAUCUUGAUCGUGUACACUGUACGAGAGAAAUCCUAUCAGUAUAAUCAUGUGACUGCUGCAAACACUGUUCCUCACGACCGUCAGAUCACCUGCCCGAAGUGCGACAAACAGUUCCUCAAAACCGAUCACUUAAAGAAGCAUCUGACCAUCUGACAUGCCACCUGAAAAUCUGCAAAGGCCCAAAGACAGGCAGAGGAAGGAGAGGAGGAAGACAGGGAUCAGGAAGAAGAACCAGACGAAGAACAGGAAAGAGAUUUUAGCACCAGACGAGAGAAAAGAGUGUGACAUUGUCAUGGUGGGGUUUUCCUCAGAUAAGCCUCUGUAACCUCUCACUGUGAUUUUGCGAUUUGCUUUAUUUGGUAUUUUUUAUUCAGUUUACAUUCUGUUUUACUUUCUGAUGUGCCAAGUUAUUUGUACGCUCUGAUGUAUGGAACAAUUCAUGAAGAUGAAACUUGCUCAGCUCAGAGGAUGCCAGUGGUGGUCAGAAAAAACACGCUGUAUCUGAAACACUGCCAUUUUAAUGUUUAGUGAAAUCAGUUCCUUUUUUACACUUUGCCUUAGUUGUUAUUUAUUUGUAUAAUUUCAUUGAGUGAAGCCACCGUACAUUAUGAAAUGAGGUCAUUUACAAAUAAAUUAAUUUCUAUAAAUCUUG